ensembl:lincRNA Hottip uncharacterized LOC110295564
GUAAAACUCAACAGUGACAAAGAGACGAAGUACGGUUCCAGGCACCAAUUCUCGGAGAGGGCAGUUUACAUACAGGUACAACGGAACCAGCCUGGAGCCAGCCAUCGGUAAGAGAUAGCAGAGAGAACUCCAACUGCAUCACUCUCUGUUUCUUACCGAGUCUCAAAGAAGGGAGAAGGCACCUCCGCCCGCACCCCUCCCCCGUUUUAGAAGCACUAGCAGCAGGUUUCAGGCUCUGGGGAGCAGCACCCCCUACCCCGCUGCCUGAGAUCCCUUCUACCGAGUGAUUUAGAUGGUGCCGAGAGCUCUCUCCGUGUUCUAAUGGCGUCACUGCGCUGUCCUUCACCACAUCUGGAAACUGAGACUUCACCUAAAGGACCCUAAUGUGAGUUGGACGCAGAGGGACCGAAUUCCUGUAAAUAGAGGCUCAACCUGAAGGAAUACGCUUCUUUCCACAGUUAGUGGCAGGCAUCCCGACCAGGGCACCAGCUUGCAGGACUCUGGGAGUGAGUUCAGGGCCACUGGGAUGGAUGCUGGAAGAAUGGGGUACCUCCUGGCAACCCGGCGCCUGCAGCUGCCGUGUGAAAAGGACCCCUUCUCAACCUGGUUGAUGCUCACUGCCCGCAACAAAACAGGAAACCAGCGCUGGGCUUUAUAUCAACAAGUACACCGUAGAUGGUGUAGAGCGUUCGAAGGAAGUAGGGGGUUUGCGUCUAAGUCUGGUGCUGUUGGGCUCGGUGUUUCUCCCUGAGAAAUCAGCGUGGAGCCAGAAGAACUGGGCCCAUAGGGGUCCUCCGUAAGCACACUCCCCAUCUGGCUGUGAAUUCUUAAUAGACAAAGCAACAGAGGGAGGGAAACUCACUAGCAAGGAGAAAGGGGGAAACUCAAGACCCCUUCAAGUACACACUGAGGUGUAAUCAGAUUUUACAGGCACGUUAUAUACUGUAACCAUAGCGAUGUGUGUGCCUUCAUACGCACACGCACAGAUUCACACAUCAAAUGUAUACACAGGCACAAGCGUAGUGAAAUACAGUCAUUAUGCCAAGUCCUAAGGGGAAAAAAAAAUCACCUUGUCAAAGCAGCCUGGUGGCCAGUUUCCUGUCCUCUGGUUCAAUUCAGCUUUUUCCAACCACUGGUCCUCCCUCCUGGGUCUGUAAAUACGGUAAAUACACCUGUCUUCAGUGGAAGGUGAGCGGUCCAUCAGCAUUUGUCUGGUUCAGAUGGCCUCCCCUAGAAUCUCUGGACCCUCCCCGAGCUGUCCGAGCUUGUGAGGGAGGCUCCAGCUGCAGUCCUUUGUCUGUGGGACUGGAUCCCUUCGUGGCCCAAUGCUCUGGGAAAUGAAGCAGCUCAAUACAAACUUUUGAUAUUAGUUUUUAUAGGUAUUUACACUUUGGUGAGGGUAGCUGGGUACGGAAGCUUCGUUAAUCAGCCCCCGACCUUAGGUUCGGCUGGGAGUAGGAGCUGGCCGGAAAGAAAAGAAAGCUUCGGGAAGUCGGAGAGAAUGAAAAACAAAACAAAACGGCACAAGGUCAUUUUCUGUUCCAGAAAAUGAGUAAGUGGGCCAUUCCAGGGACUCCCCAGUUGGCCACUCCCUCCCGCUUUGUACAGGGAACAUGUUUUCUGCCUUUGCCUAAUACAACAACUACACUUUAAAAUAUAUUCCCCCCCCAAUACAUAUAAAGGUGUAGCAAGCCCCUCUACAUCCAGUUUAUCUUUGACUUUAUUAUCAUUUUAUCUUGCAUACCUUUUUUGAUAAUUAAAGCUUAAUUAAAUCCGAGGUAUUGAACUGCUUCAUUCUCAAUAGAAGGUUUUGAGAAUUUUCAAGACUGUGAGAAAGGGGUGAACUGGAGUUGUUUGAGGUAAGGACUAUCAAGAGCCCAAGGUUUCAUCAAGAAGGAACCUGGAGCAAAAUAGAUUUGGGAUCUUAUCUGAAAUUGUAUGUGUCUUCUUUAUAAAAAUUACACAUGCGGGGGAGGGUUAUAUCAACUUCUUCUUUCACUGAAGAUUUCUGUUUGUUUAAGAUUGAUGUGGGGGAUGCCCUAUGUCCUAACUUGAUACAUUUUCACGUUAAGCAAAUGCUUAUUUCCUAUUUUAAAACAUCUCUUUCCCUAUAGACAUCGCAUAGAAAUUUCUAAUGCUUAAACUAAGAGGAGAAAGGGUGGACUGAAUUGAUAUCAAAGUUACCAUGGUUUUCUAGAAAAAAAAAAUGUAGCUCUGUAUGCCUUUUAAAAUAUUCCUGCUGCAACAAGAGAUUUGUAAAAUACUGAGUAAAAGCAUGAAUGUCGUGUUUGUA